rnacentral:rRNA from 1 species
AGUGAACGCUGGCGGUAGGCCUAACACAUGCAAGUCGAACGGCAGCACAGUAAGAGCUUGCUCUUACGGGUGGCGAGUGGCGGACGGGUGAGGAAUACAUCGGAAUCUACUUUUUCGUGGGGGAUAACGUAGGGAAACUUACGCUAAUACCGCAUACGACCUACGGGUGAAAGCAGGGGAUCUUCGGACCUUGCGCGAUUGAAUGAGCCGAUGUCGGAUUAGCUAGUUGGCGGGGUAAAGGACCACCAAGGCGACGAUCCGUAGCUGGUCUGAGAGGAUGAUCAGCCACACUGGAACUGAGACACGGUCCAGACUCCUACGGGAGGCAGCAGUGGGGAAUAUUGGACAAAGGGCGCAAGCCUGAUCCAGCCAUACCGCGUGGGUGAAGAAGGCCUUCGGGUUGUAAAGCCCUUUUGUUGGGAAAGAAAAGCAGCAGGUUAAUACCCCGCUGUUCUGACGGUACCCAAAGAAUAAGCACCGGCUAACUUCGUG